UACGUAGGUGGCAAGCGUUGUCCGGAUUUACUGGGCGUAAAGCGUAUGCAGGCGGACCGUUAGUAGGAAGUGAAAGGUUGGAGCUCAACUCUAACACUGCUCCCUAUACUGGCGGUCUUGAGUGGCGGAGAGGAAGAUGGAACGACACGUGUAGCGGUGAAAUGCGUUGAUAUGUGUCGGAACACCAAUGGCGAAAGCAAUCUUCUGGACGCAAACUGACGCUGAGAUACGAAAGCCAAGGUAGCAAAACAGG
rnacentral:rRNA from 1 species